GAUGAACGCUGGCGGCGUGCCUAAUACAUGCCAGUCGAGCGAACAGACGAGGAGCUUGCUCCUCUGACGUUAGCGGCGGACGGGUGAGUAACACGUGGAUAACCUACCUAUAAGACUGGGAUAACUUCGGGAAACCGGAGCUAAUACCGGAUAAUAUAUUGAACCGCAUGGUUCAAUAGUGAAAGACGGUUUUGCUGUCACUUAUAGAUGGAUCCGCGCCGCAUUAGCUAGUUGGUAAGGUAACGGCUUACCAAGGCAACGAUGCGUAGCCGACCUGAGAGGGUGGUCGGCCACACUGGAACUGAGACACGGUCCAGACUCCUACGGGAGGCAGCAGUAGGGAAUCUUCCGCAAUGGGCGAAAGCCUGACGGAGCAACGCCGCGUGAGUGAUGAAAGUCUUCGGAUCGUAAAACUCUGUUAUUAGGGAAGAACAAAUGUGUAAGUAACUAUGCACGUCUUGACGGUACCUAAUCAGAAAGCCACGGCUAACUACGUG
rnacentral:rRNA from 1 species